rnacentral:rRNA from 1 species
GAUGAACGCUGGCGGCGUGCCUAAUACAUGCAAGUCGAGCGAACAGACGAGGAGCUUGCUCCUCUGACGUUAGCGGCGGACGGGUGAGUAACACGUGGAUAACCUCCCUAUAAGACUGGGAUAACUUCGGGAAACCGGAGCUAAUACCGGAUAAUAUAUUGAACCGCAUGGUUCAAUAGUGAAAGACGGUUUUGCUGUCACUUAUAGAUGGAUCCGCGCCGCAUUAGCUAGUUGGUAAGGUAACGGCUUACCAAGGCAACGAUGCGUAGCCGACCUGAGAGGGGGAUCGGCCACACUGGAACGGAGACACGGUCCAGACUCCUACGGGAGGCAGCAGUAGGGAAUCUUCCGCAAUGGGCGAAAGCCUGACGGAGCAACGCCGCGUGAGUGAUGAAGGUCUUCGGAUCGUAAAACUCUGUUAUUAGGGAAGAACAAAUGUGUAAGUAACUAUGCACGUCUUGACGGUACCUAAUCAGAAAGCCACGGCUAACUACGUG